AAAGGCGGGGGGGGGCGGAAGAGGAAGGAGGACUGAGCCUGGGAGAGAGAGGGGAGGGGGUGAGUGCGACCGGGUCAUGCAGGUGCAGAGUGGCCGGUCGCUUCCCGCCCUCCCGCCACCCGCAGCUCCCCGGCUGGCGGAGGGCGGCCGCGUGGGUGUGGGCCGGGAGAGGGAGGCGGCUCGCCCGGAGCGCGCCGUCCGCCCGCCCCCCGCCGCCUCUCGGACGCCUGUGCUCACGCUGCGAGGCCCAGUGCAUUGUGAGCCCGGUCGGGCUCCACGCUGGCAGCGUAUGAGAGCUGUCCUGGGCCGGAGGUGGCGCGACCCCUGUGCGGCCUAGAGUGGGCCUGGGAUGCCUUAGCACUAAAUGAUCGUGAUCAGAGACCCCGAGUUCUUUCGUGCUACUACGCUUUGCAACCCAGACACAUAGCACAAAUGGACAAGAAAGACUUCAGCAGAUGCUGGCCCCUUGAUCUUGGACUUCCCAGCCUUCAGAACAGAAGCCAGCUGCCAUAUUGUGAGUACCCUCUGGAAGGGCCUUUAUGGCAAGGAACUGAUGUUUCCAGCCAGCAGCCAGCAAGAACCGUAGGCCUUGUGAAUGAGGUUGGAAGCAGAUCCUCCCACACUCAAGCCUUGAUAUGACAACAGCCUGAGACCCAGAGGUCAGUAAAUUGUCAAGUUUGUAUAUCUAGCAAAUAGCAGAGCCAAAAUUCCUGUUUCUCAAACUCAAGAUUUCCUCAUCUGGAAAAUGUGAUAGUUGUUCCACAUAGCCAGAGCUAAGUGUUAUUUAGCUAUAAGAGUCUAAUGAAUCUAGGUCCCAAACUAAGUUCAUCAUUGUCCCCUCCUUCUCUCUACACUGAUCCUCUUCUUUCAGGCUCCCUGCCCAUGUUUUUUUUCUUUGUUUCUUUUUUUUCCCCUGCCCAUGUUCUUGAUUAACUCUCUAAUCAGCCAGGCUCAAAAUUUUGAAAAUUUUAACACCCUCUUUUUUUCUACCUUUUCAUAUAUAAAAUGAGUUCUGUAUGGUUUUAUCUUGAAAUUAUCUUUUUCUUCUUCUCCCUAGUUCAAGCUUCUACCAUAUCAUGUGUGGAUAGUUGCAAAACCUACAGUGUCCAGUUUUUCCUGACCCAAUCCACUUUGUUGGAUACUUCUCAUACUAAUCUUCUUUAAAUGUUGUUUUCAUCAAUUCCUCCAAAAACCAUAACGAGCCCCUGUUUCUUAUAAAUUAUGUCCCACUCCUCUCCUGGUUUAGCUCUCCAAAAGCCAGUACCACCCUUGGGAGCCAGCCUUCUAAUCCCCAACACAAACCUUCUGCUUCAGUCUAUCUGGCUUGCUUUUGGGCCCUUGAGUUAUCCAUGCUAGUGUCUGCCUCUGAGACUUUGUAUCGUCUUUGGAUUGUUAUUUUAUUGUUUACCCAAAUUCUGCUAUCCGUAACAUCCCAGCUAAAUCCAACAUCCUGCUCAGAUCCCAAGAGGCUUCACUAUUGCUAAACUUGACAUCCCAGGUCUUUCUAGGCCCUUAGGGGCUACUAUUCUCCAUUAAAUUUCCCUAUCCCCUUUCCAUACAAGUACCUAAAAUGUAAGUGUCCCCACUCAUCCGUCUUAUCCUGUAUACUGGUCCCAGACCCCCUUGUGCCUACCCAAACUCAUUCCCCCACUGCCUCUUUCCUCCUCACACCUUUCUGCUGUACUCUCCGGAACCCCCAUUUUAUAGAAAGCAAACCAUCCUACAUCCCCAGCCUGUCUCCCACUCCUUGCCUUAACUGAAACUUGGCUAUCUUACGAGAACAUAGCUUCCCCUGCUACUGUCUUGAAUUGAGGGGUGCUUACUUUACCAGUCCUCAUAUAUUGUGGGGUUGGGAGCAGGGUUGGCCUUCUCCCAGCUUCACAAUGCUACUGCCACACCAUUGCUCUGAAAAUAAAUAAGAGAUUAAGCCAGCUGGCAUGCCCGCCCCCCAUCCGUCCAUGCCUGUAUCAUCUAACACCUUCCUGACACUCCUACAAUGACUUUUUUAAAAAGGCACCUGGUUUAUAAUCUUUCUCUCCUAAAGAUCUUAAAUUACAGCUUUAAAACAGUAUUUUUUAUUAUUCUUUCUCCUUUAAAAUAUACUAUUGUAGGCCCUGCAGGAUGACUC